CUAUUACGCUCUGCAUCCAAUAAAAAAGAAUUCACAGUUGUUAAUUAACUACCACCUAAAUUAUUAUGAAGAGGAAAAGGUCAUUAGACAACGAAAUCUUCUACAUAUAUUUGGAUUUAUAUGUAAUUGUAUACCGUGUGAAAAUAAUUGGAAUUGUAGAAAUGAUACAUUUCUAGAAAUAUAUAAUAAGUGUCGUCAAAAAUCUACUAAGUUAAAUUUAUUAUUUUUUAAAAAUCUCGAAUUUAUACAAAAUCUUUAUUCUCAUCGUAAAGAAUGUAGUGAAAAGGAA